rnacentral:rRNA from 1 species
UACGUAGGGUGCGAGCGUUAAUCGGAAUUACUGGGCGUAAAGCGUGCGCAGGCGGCUUCGCAAGUCAGACGUGAAAUCCCCGGGCUUAACCUGGGAAUGGCGUUUGAAACUACGGAGCUGGAGUGUGGCAGAGGGAGGUAGAAUUCCACGUGUAGCAGUGAAAUGCGUAGAUAUGUGGAGGAAUACCGAUGGCGAAGGCAGCCUCCUGGGCCAACACUGACGCUCAUGCACGAAAGCGUGGGGAGCAAACAGG